CAACUGCCAUAUCAAUAGCGGAGGAAAAGAAACCAACCGGGAUUGCCUUAGUAACGGCGAGUGAAGCGGCAAAAGCUCAAAUUUGAAAUCUGGUACCUUCGGUGCCCGAGUUGUAAUUUGGAGAGGGCAACUUUGGGGCCGUUCCUUGUCUAUGUUCCUUGGAACAGGACGUCAUAGAGGGUGAGAAUCCCGUGUGGCGAGGAGUGCGGUUCUUUGUAAAGUGCCUUCGAAGAGUCGAGUGGUUUGGGAAAAGAUC
rnacentral:rRNA from 1 species